ACUUCACAGAAUUUGCUAAGGAUGAGGAGGUUGCAGAAAUCAACAAGGCUGUGUUGAGAUGGCAAACGACUUUAACUCAGGUGUGGAUGAGGAUGACAUGGAGGAGCUCCUAGAGGUGGUUCCUGAGGAACUGACUACUGAGGACUUGUUGGAACUGGAACAGGCGGACAUAGCUGAAGAAGAGGCAAGAGAAAAGGAAACUGCAGGAGAAGGAAAAGAGGGACACUCAAGAAAAAUUUUCGGUGGAGGAUUUAGCAGAAGCAUUUGCAGACUUCAACAAGCUCUUUGAAAAGUGUGAAAACAUGGAACAUAACACUGAAAAGCUUUCAUUAAUAGAGAGGAAUGUUCAUGGUGUACUAUCUGUUCACAAGAAAAUCUGUGAUUGAAAAAAAGAAACAAAUCAAGCAACCACCAUGGACAUAUUUCUGCAGAGUGACACCUCCUCAAAAAGAGCCUCAGGCAGGUCCUUCAUCAGGUGUUCCGGAAGAAGGCACUGUUAUCAUAGGAGAUGACAGCUCCAUGAGUGUUUUUGCCCUUGAAGACCAUCCAGUGGGACAAGACCUGCAUGUGAAGACGGUGGUAUUGUUAUAAUGACGCUGUGUAGGCCUAGGCUAAUUGUACGGCGUUUCAAGGUCCACAGGAGUGUGCAGUAACGUCCUAGGCUUCAUGUUCACUCGCCACUCACGCGCUCGCUCACCCAGAGCCACGUUCAGUCCAGCAAGCUCCCUUCAUGACACUUUCAAGAAAUAGAAGAUUUUUAUGUUUUGCGGGCAAAGAUAGUCUUGGAUUAAAAGGCUCCAAAAUAGACUCAAAACGCAAAAGAAACUGUUUAUUUCCUCAACAAAUCAUCACUCUGCAAGUCUAAAAAAACAAAAGGAAAAGUCUUCCCACCAACAAAACAUAAUCUAAGUUUCUAUAACAAGUUUUACAGACUCUAAUAUUCAAAGAACAGGAAGCAAAAGACAUAAGUUGUUGUAUUCAUGACCAUCUUUAUUCUGUCCUGUGAUCAUUUUUUAAAGUCCUAGUUAUAGACUCCAAACAAUUCCUUUUCCCUCCCAUUUUAAUGUCUCUCUUUAAAUAAUUGCCAACUCUAAUCCAUAUUAGAUAUCCAAAAACUCUUUAAUCAAAAAGCUUUCUAGAAAUGUCUGGAAUAGGCAAAUCAUAGAGUCAGCAAAUAGAUUAGUGGUUGCCAGUGACUGCGGGCAGAGAGGAAUCAAGUGAUUGCUAAUGGAGAAGAAGCUUCUUUUCGGGGUGAUGAAAAUGUUCUAGAAUUAGACAGGGGUGAUGGUUACAUAACUUUGUGAAUAUGCUAAAACCACUGAAUUGUACACUUCGAAAGGCUGAAUUUAUUGUAGGUGAAUUACACCUCCAUAAAACCUAAAGUUUAAAAACAAAAAGCUUUCUAGAAGUAAGCGACAUUUUUCCCUGGGAAAAUACUUUCGAGCACUUGUGUUCUCUCUUUCUUCUGUUCUUUCUGCUGGAGAAAGGAGAGAGCAGCAAAAGGGUCUCACCUGACUUCUCCGACGGUCUUGGUCAAUUCUGGCCCUUUGCUAUGUUAUGUUACAGGAGAGCAAAGCAUCCUUUGACCCUGAGUCUGAAGUUUAACCCCUGUGAUCCCGCCCAGUUAGAUACCUCUAAGGUACACUGCACAUUUUAGCAGUCUGACGACCAGGAAGCUUGACCACGUUAUUCCCUUGAUCAGGACUGUCCAUUUCACGCUGUCAUAAAUGGCAGGGCUGCAAAGAGGACAGCAGUGACAAUCGCUGGGACCUAAUCCGUUCUAUGAGCUGCUGCGCACCAGAGCCACAAGUUAAUAGUCAGCAGACGAGUCCUGGGGGCUUGGCUUUUUAUUCGCAAGGAAAAAAACCAUCCCUAUUGGCAGCUGAAGAGACAACCCCUCUGGGGACCAAUUAUUCUAUUUUGUGCUGUACAUCCUGCAGCAGUCUGCUGCCAGCCCCC
ensembl:lncRNA